rnacentral:rRNA from 1 species
UACGUAGGGUGCAAGCGUUAAUCGGAAUUACUGGGCGUAAAGCGUGCGCAGGCGGUUUUGUAAGUCGGUCGUGAAAUCCCCGGGCUUAACCUGGGAAUUGCGAUGGAGACUGCAAGGCUAGAAUCUGGCAGAGGGGGGUAGAAUUCCACGUGUAGCAGUGAAAUGCGUAGAGAUGUGGAGGAACACCGAUGGCGAAGGCAGCCCCCUGGGUCAAGAUUGACGCUCAUGCACGAAAGCGUGGGGAGCAAACAGG